AGAAGAGAGAAAGCAGAUUGUCCUGAGCCCCAAGUGUCUGUGAUUCUCUUAGCUAAGUAAGGAAUCAGUGCCAGAGACAGAGGUUGCUGGAGCUGAGAGGAGACGUAGUCAAGAAGAUUGGAGAAGGCUCUGCGGAGAAGGUGAACUUGAGCUAAGACUUGAAGGGAGGGCAGGCUUGAAGGGAUGAAACAGCCUCCUCUGUGCUAAAGAGAGGAGUGACAGGGCCAUCAUCAGGCAAAGGGGACAUUACCAGGCAAAGGGACACCAUUGGUCAAAGGCGAUGGUGGAGACAAGACAUUCUGGAAGAGCCCGGAUCAGAGAGAUUUGGGGCCAGGAGCCGGCAUCAGGGGACCGGCUCCCUAAGGAACCAUGGCACCACUGGCUCUCAGCUGGAAAUAAGCAGCAGAUGAAGCACAUGCAUCCUGAGUUUUGGCUCUGGUGAUGGUGGUGGAGCUGUUAAUUCUUGGAGUCCAAAUUCCUGCACCACCUCUGAGUUCCGAGGGGGUGGGGAAGAGCAAGUGAUGGCUGGACAGCAAAGAGGAGUGGAGGCCGGGAGAAUGGGCAGCUAGCCCAGCGCUCUCCAAUAUCUGGGAGUCGACCGCACUCCUGCACUCCCUGUCAUCCCUGCUAAUGGUGAGGAACUGAGCAAAAGAGCCUCCAGAGUGACAGGUGACUUAAAGCGCACGUGGCUCUACAUUUACAAUUGAAGUGGGCUUUGGAGAUUGCAGAUUCUGAAUACCUGCUGGGGUGGUACAGAGGCUGUGUUCUGGUUUUGCCAUCUUGGACAGGGGGUUGGGAGUCUGGGGGGCUGCCUUCUCUCCUCUUCGUGCAGCUCUGCUGGGGCCUGUCUCACACUUGUGAGCAGAGUUAUGGCUGGAUUCCAGGGGAGACAGAGCUUGGUUGUGAAAUGUAAGGUUGUGAAAUGAAGGGCUUGUGAAAUGAACAAAGAAUGUAUUUAAGGGUCUUUCAUUUUAAAUCGAACACUUACAUAGCACUUACUACUUGCAAAGCUCCACUCUAAGCACUUUACCCAUCUUAAUUCAUUUAAUUCUCUUCUCAACCCUAAAAAGCAGGUAUUACCAUUGCUCCAAUCUUACAGAUGAGGAAACUCAGGCAUGGAGAGGUUGAGCGACUUGCCCAAAUUCAUGCAGUUAGGACCUGGCAGAGCUGCGCUUUGAACCCAGGCUGCCUGGCUCUAGAGUGUGUGCACGAAACUUCACUGCCAUAUGAACAAAACUGCAGGACAUAUGUUCUCAAAGCAAAUAAGCCUCCCAGAGAGGCUUUUCCUGAUGGCUUCAAGGACCUGCCCUAGCCUGGUCUGACUUCCCAGAGGGGAUCCAGUCCCAACAUUGGCCCUAUCUUUAGACCACAUUUCCAUCCCAUUCUCAGUGAAAACCCUGAGUCAUGACAGAAGACAACCAAUGCUGGAGAGAGGAGGUUUCAGGGGAUGCUGUCCUGAUCCAGGCUGGUGAGGCAAGGAGGGGCUGCGGCUUCCUGAGCUCUCCGAGCUGCUAAUGUGCGUGGGGAAUGCUAAGCAGC
rnacentral:lncRNA from 1 species